ensembl:snoRNA
GUCUGAUGGUUGCUGGGCACUGUUGUUUAUACACAAAUCUCCAGUGGAUAAAGGAGCCACAGAAACUCUGUGAAUUAUGCAUGUUGACUUUUUCUCCUCAGCAGCUGUGAUAGCCAAGUCAUUAAUAUAUGG